rnacentral:tRNA from 1 species
GUGGGUAUAGCUUAGUGGUAGAGCACAUGCUUAGCAUGCACAAGGUCCUGGGUUCAAUUUCCAGUACCUCCA